UGGGACUGAGACACGGCCCAGACUCUACGGGAGGCAGCAGUAGGGAAUAUUGGACAAUGGGGGCAACCCUGAUCCAGCAAUGCAGCGUGAGUGACGAAGGCCUUAGGGUUGUAAAACUCUUUCAUCGGUGAGGAUAAUGACAGUAGCCGAAGAAGAAGGACCGGCUAAUUCCGUGCCAGCAGCCGCGGUAAUACGGAAGGUCCUAGCGUUGUUCGGAAUUACUGGGCGUAAAGCGCAUGUAGGCGGAACAGAAAGUUAGAAGUGAAAUCCCUGGGCUCAACCUAGGAAUUGCUUUUAAAACUUCUGUUCUGGAAUUCAGGAGAGGAAAAUGGAAUUUCCAGUGUAGAGGUGAAAUUCGUAGAUAUUGGAAGGAACACCAGUGGCGAAGGCGAUUUUCUGGACUGAUAUUGACGCUGAGAUGCGAAGGCAUGGGUAGCAAACGGGAUUAGAUACCCCGGUAGUCCAUGCAGUAAACGAUGGGUGCUAGUCGUCGGACUUUUGUUCGGUGUCGUAGCUAACGCGUUAAGCACCCCGCCUGGGGAGUACGGUCGCAAGAUUAAAACUCAAAUAAAUUGACGGGGACCCGCACAAGCAGUGGAGCAUGUGGUUUAAUUCGACGCAACGCGAAGAACCUUACCAGCGUUUGACAUGGAAAGUGCCGGUUACAGAAUGGUAACCUUCAGUUCGGCUGGCUUUCGCACAGGUGCUGCAUGGCUGUCGUCAGCUCGUGUCGUGAGAUGUUGGGUUAAGUCCCGCAACGAGCGCAACCCUUAUCGUUAGUUACUAACAGUUCGGCUGAGGACUCUAGCGAAACUGCC
rnacentral:rRNA from 1 species